GAUGAAGAACGUAGCGAAAUGCGAUAAGUAAUGUGAAUUACAGAAUUCAGUGAAUCAUCGAAUCUUUGAACGCACAUUGCGCCCGCCAGUAUUCUGGCGGGCAUGCCUGUUCGAGCGUCAUUUCAACCAUCAAGCCCCCGGCUUGUGUUGGGGACCUGCGGCUGCCGCAGGCCCUGAAAACCAGUGGCGGGCUCGCUGUCACACCGAGCGUAGUAGAUUUUCAUCUCGCUCAGGGCGUGCUGCGGGUUCCGGCCGUAAAAAGCCUUAUUUACCCAAGGUUGACCUCGGAUCAGGUAGGAAGACCCGCUGAACUUAAGCAUAUCAAUAAGCGGAGGA
rnacentral:misc_RNA from 1 species